CUGCAUAUAAGGCACGCGAACUCAAGAGCGGCUCCCGGGGGCCCCCGAUGCGAGGAGCACGGACCAGGGCCUCCUUUCCAGUUCUGAGUAAGACCUGUGGUUGGCAGGGGUCAUGGGGCUGGUUAGGAUUCAACUGUGCUUGAAAGGAACCACAGGCUGUGUCAGCCAGGAGGGUCUGGAAUACCCCGAAGCCAUCGGAGCCCUACCACUCAGACGCGAGGCUGUGCACCCCAGCCUCUGGCAGAAUAGAAAUCCCUCCGCUCAGUGGCUCGUGGCCACCCCGGUUUCUCUAGGAUCCAGCGCUCAGGAAAAUAUGCCCCAUUUGAGAGUUAGGGGGGUUUGGUUUUCCUAAGUGAGUUUGCAACAUGCUGUGUUAGUUUUUUAGAAGAAAGUAGUUUCUUGAGUCAGAUGCAACAGCUAAAAAUAAGUGCACAUUUACACACACACACGGACAUUUAUAAAUACAUGCCUUUGCUCCAAAGGUAAUUUUUCUAAAAGCCGGAAUAGCUUUUGGUACCACAUCUAAUUAGGAGAUUGUAGAACAACGCAGAGCCGCCUUGAUUAUAACAACCGUGCUCAGAUAAUGCGCUGUUAAAUGAGCUCGCUCCACGUCUAUUUUGUAAGUAGAUUCGGUUUAUUUUUAGUCCUCGUUUGAAGCCAGGAAUCCAAAUGGAGAUGAAGGGUUUUCGGCGAGCAUGGGGACCAGGAAGGUGGUGCUUGGCCUGGAGGCUCCUCUGAGAAGCUGGCUUUUUCGGGGAGACAUUUGUGAAAAGCCAGCAGUAAAGAUGGGGUCCACUGUGUCUCAGAAACAGGCUUCCUCUCCGCUCCAGAAGAGACCCACGGCGGUGCGCUCGGACCGAAAAGCACAUCCUCAAAUACCUGGUGGGUGGCACUUGCAAUCCCUGUGUCUGGUAAGGAGUCAAUACCCAAAAUACACACAUAACUUCCACAGUUAAAUGGCAAACAAACAACAGCAACAAAGAAACUACUAAUAAACUGAUUUUUGAGUCUUUUUUUUUUUUUCCCAAGGACCACACCCGUGCCUAUGGAGGUUCCCCAGCUAGGGGUCCAAUCAGAGCUGUGGCUGCCAGCCUCCGCCACAGCCACAGCAACGUGGGAUCUGAGCUGCGUCUGCCACCUACACUAGAGCUCACGGCAACACCGGAUCCUUCACCCACUGCAGGAGACCGGGGAUCGAACCUGCAUCCUCAUGGAUACUAGUCAGAUUCAUUUACACUGAGCCACGACAGGAACGCCUAAUAAACUGAUUUUUAAAAUGGGUCAAGGACUUGAAUAGACGUGUCUCCAAGGACGGCAGGUGUGCCAGCGGAAACAGGGGUAUGUAAACAUGUUCAGUGUCACAGUCACUUCGGGGGCAGGCAGACCAAGCCACAGGAGGUAACACCUCACAGCUGCCAGGGUGGCUGUCACCACACGGAAAGACAAGUGUCGGCCCCGACGCGGAGCAGGUGGCACAUUUCCGCCCGCCAGUGGGAAGGCCGAUGGUGGGAGAGGGCGGAGAUCCCGCCGCAGCCAAUGCCAGAGCCGCCGUGCCCGUCCGCCUUCCGCCGGGGUCUGUCCCGAAGAGCAGCAGCGCUCGGGGCCCAGCAGGGGAGUCUGCUCCGCUGCUGCCCGGCACCCCUGCCCCCGUCUGCAGCGGGGCCGCGUGUGCACACGGGCCCGAGCGCCUGGGGAGGAGCAGGUGCGCAGAAGGUGACCGUUCUGUCCUGAGGCCUGGCUUUGCUGGUGCCUGUGUGUCUGAUAACGGCCGUUCGCCCACGGGCUGCGAUCAGUGGCUCAGGAAGAGGAUCUUUGUGGCACCGACGAAUUUUGUCUUUUAGUUUCGAUGUUGACCUCAAGGUUUCCCGUGAACCAGCUUUCCAUGACUCAAGCUCACGAACCCCACAUUACAUAGUCACGGAAAGGCUCCUCCUCGUGACUGGGUUUCAGUUGUUUCCGAUGGUUGAACCUGGGCUUAUGACAGCAUCUAGAGAAUAAAGACAAAAAAUGAGUGCGAUGGGGAAAACACCAAGGAAAGUGUGAGAAAUUGUCGCAGCCACACGGGAGCCGAAGGGGAGCGACUAUCCCAUCGGACCCCGGGCAAAAAAAAGAGAGAGGCAGUCGGAAGAAACCGCAGCAAGUGUGGACUUCAGCUCGUCGUGAUGCGUCCCUGUCGGUUUGUUAACUGUGGCAAGCACGCCCUGCUCGGGUGAGAUGUCAGCAAGCGGGGGAGCGAGGGCGGGCCGCCGGGGACCUCCGCGCCGGCUGCGGGCGUGCUGGCAGCUUACAGCUCUUCUAAAGAAAAAGCCUGCUUUAAAACAAUACGCAAGAUGACUUAGAACGCCCACUCCCCCACCGGAGAGAAGAGCCACCGUCGCCCAUCCGCUGUUUCGGCGCAGACCGCUCCGCCAGGCGACACUGCGCCCGGCUGCGGCUCACAGCCUGCCUUUCCCCUUCACGACUCCGGAAUAUGGGCACCAUCCCGUGUCACCAAAAGUGAUGUCGUCAGACAAUCCGUCAGUCGGUCAGUCAGUGUUGGGGUAAGCGUGGUCUCGGGCAGUACGGCCUCCUCCUGAGACUGGAAGUAAAUUAAAUUCAGAGACACCUUCCACGUGGCAAAACGCUUCCAGCCCCAAGCAGCCAUUGGGCCCCACGCGGCCGGUCUUAAUGCCCCAAGUUGGGGCCUGAGGCCUGGAAAAGCCACGCUCACCUCUUGGAAGCCGGUCAAAGAGACACCAGGAGCCGCUGUGAGGAUUCAGCCGCCCGGGGGGUGGGAGGGAGUGGAGAGCCACCUCGGCUUCCUGGAGGAGGUGACGUCUGAGGUGGGCCUGAAGGCAGAUGAAGAUGCGAUGAAGUCGGUUGUCAGCUUCGCUAGUGGCUGGCUCAGCCGCAUCUGGAAAUCGUUCUACACACCAGCUGCGGCUAAUUCAGCGCUUGAAAUUCUCUUACUGAAAGCCUGGAUAGCUUCGCGCGUGUCUCAGUGGCGUGGGCUUCAUUUAAAGUUGUUUGGAAAUCUGAUGAGAAAGAUCUGCAACCCAGAGUGUAGAGGUUUGAAGGACACCAGUGUCUGGGCUCUGGGCUGCUCCUUCUGAGAGAUGCUUAGAAAAAGGACCGCUAAGACCCGUGUCCUCGGUGGGUGCCGUGCGGUGUGGGGCUGGCCGUGACUGCAUUCCCUGACUUUUGAUUUGUCCUGGAGGAUUGUAACGUAAGGCAGGAGGCCAGACCCUGGGAGAGCGAGCGUUGGGCGGAAGUUUGUGGAAGCUGAGGCUGACCUGGCCUCUCCCCCUCACCUCCGUCCCAGGGGUGGAAGGCACCUUGGUUACUGGAAUCCGAUCCCCCGAGAAAGACGGGUGCAUCCUGCGUAAAAUGCCUACAGAAGGGCCGUGGGCCCCAGGCGGUGGCCGCCGCACCUGACUCCCCAUCCUCGCCGGCUGUUUGGGGGAUCCCAUGAGUGGUAAGAGUGUCCUAAACUGUCUCGGGGAAGUAGGUCUCACGUGCGUGAGGCUGAGGGCCAUGUCGCCAGGCAGCAGGAACACCACCUUCCCGUGCUGCUGCCGGUGGUGUGUGCGCGUCGGGCUCGUCCAGGGGGUCGGAGCUCCCAGCCCCUUCAGUUUUCAGAGGAAAGGCCUAGAAACCCACCCUGGGGACCGCUGGCCUGGACAUCUUCCAUCUCCUUCCUUCCCUCUAAUAUCCCUCGAAUUCCAGGACUUGGACUGGGGUUCUCUUGUCCAUUUCCCGAAAAGGAGAAUUCAUUUCCAAGGGCUUCCACUAAAUCAGAUUAGCUUAGACCAGACUGUAGACUCAGAAGCUGGCCCCUCCCCAGCCACCAAGAAAAAGAGUCUAAAGAAAGUUCCUUCCCUUUGAACGGCACUUGCUCCUUUCAGACAUUUCUUGAAGACAGUUCGUAGCCCUUCACACAUCCGCUGGUGACGCCUAAAAUGGGGUUCUGCGUUAAGUGACCUUGUGACCAUGCUCUAGAUGGAGAAGGAAAGGCAGAGAUAAGCCUCCGUGGCUGGCGAGUGUCGGGCAGCCGCUGCUGAGCUCCGAGCUUCCCGGUCGGAAAGAGAGCUGGUCACUCUGCCAAGGUGACUCGCCCAGACCCCCAGCCCUGACUUCUUGCCCCAGACGCACUGAUGCCCUGAACUGUGAGGCCCCUUUGCUUCAUGGCUUUGCUGUAAAUACCUAGAAAAUUCUUCCACUGCACAUAAGCUGCCUGUGCAGAAAGGAAGCUGUGCUCUGGAGAACUGGGAAGCUUGCCUCCCGGGAUC
ensembl:lncRNA